rnacentral:rRNA from 1 species
CGGACGGGUGAGUAACGCGUGGGCAACCUGCCCCAUACAGGGGGAUAACAGUUAGAAAUGACUGCUAAUACCGCAUAAGCGCACGGCAACGCAUGUUGCUGUGUGAAAAACUCCGGUGGUAUGGGAUGGACCCGCGUCUGAUUAGCCAGUUGGCAGGGUAACGGCCUACCAAAGCGACGAUCAGUAGCCGGCCUGAGAGGGUGGACGGCCACAUUGGGACUGAGACACGGCCCAAACUCCUACGGGAGGCAGCAG